rnacentral:lncRNA from 1 species
GCAGAGGCGACCUCGUGGGGCGAAAACUGGGAACUAGUCGGGGGCAGCAGAGGCAAGAGCUCCUCCAGUGACCGUGCCCCCUUUGGAAGGAACCUGGCAAGAAUCGUGCUGUGUAGAAACCGCACUGAGUAAGCUAAUGGAUGUCCAGUGGUUAAAUGGAACUGGGAAAUACUCGGUGGCAAGAAAACUCCCUGGAGGGGCCUCCAAGCAAGAGCAUCAGAGAAGGCGUCAGGAAGCUCUCUGGAAUCUGAGCGGCCGGGCUCCCAAGGGGGGACCAGACAUACGGACUGCAUGGAGGGGCCCGCUCAGAAAGAACUGUCACCAAGAAAGGGGGAGGGGAGGGGAGGGCAAAGAAAUGGGGAAGCUGGAGAGGAGAGAGAGGCGGGGACAUCUCAUCUGGGCCCUGGGAAAUUCCUAGGAAGGCCACAGAACGGAGCUGUUCCCUAUUUCUCUGGUUUUGGGGCCACUGGGGUUGGGGGUGUAAAGGGCAAUAUUGUCCCCAAGCCCUGUGAUCCGGUCACAGCCUUGCAGCCUCCCAUUCUUUCCUCCCCCCAGCUGCGGAAAAACAUGGAGUGGCAGUGACUGUGUCCCCCAUGAUCAGCUCUCCUCUCCGUGAGCGCCAGGACUGCAGGGGAAGGACGGUCCUGGAAUGUCCCUGGACAAGGGCUCGUGGGGCACAGGGCGACACUGAGGUUGGCAGGGGCUGCCUGCCUAGAACAGGGCCCUAGUCCCUGCCCUUCCUCCGCAUUGGGAGCCACAGCAUCUUCUACAAACCCUGCUUCUCUGCUGAGCCCAGUGAGGAGACGGGCUGACGUCCACCUCCCAACCAUGAGAACUGAGGACUCCGGCACCCACAGCUGCAUCUCCUCCCACAGACCGGGCGAGAAUAAGGGCCCAGAGCCAGGGAGGCCCCACGGGGCUGGCGGGCCACUGAGAGUUAGGGCCCAGGCCCUGGGUGCAGACCAGCCGCCCGGACCCUGGCCUGAGACGGAGACAGGAAAGUUUAGGAGGAGAUGAUGGGAAGAGAUGUGGCCGAGUCUGGGGACCACAAGAAGGGGAGGGGACAUGGAGACAUCUUGCUAAAGUUCCAGGUCCUGGGGUUCCAGGGGAAUUGUUGCAGGGAGGCUCCUACCCCUUCUGUCAGAGAAGGUGGGGAUUCAGUACCUUCCUUUUGGGGGGUCCCCUUUCCCAGAAAGUCACCCCGUUUCCUC